AUGGAAAGUCUUCUCCAUUGGGAUUUCUCCCCAGGUUUGGCGAUUGAAUCUCAGGUACGUGACAAGUUCCAAUCUAUGGUGCACUUUUCACCAAACAACCCCAGAUCCUCUAUGGAAUUCUUCCUAGUGGUUUCAUUCUCCUCGGCUUCGUUCCCGUUGACAGAAGAAUCUGUGGCUCUAGCCUUACAAUAUUGUAUUGGA
rnacentral:rRNA from 1 species